rnacentral:rRNA from 1 species
GAUGAACGCUGGCGGCGUGCCUAAUACAUGCAAGUCGAGCGAACGGACGAGAAGCUUGCUUCUCUGAUGUUAGCGGCGGACGGGUGAGUAACACGUGGAUAACCUACCUAUAAGACUGGGAUAACUUCGGGAAACCGGAGCUAAUACCGGAUAAUAUUAUGAACCGCAUGGUUCAAAAGUGAAAGACGGUCUUGCUGUCACUUAUAGAUGGAUCCGCGCUGCAUUAGCUAGUUGGUAAGGUAACGGCUUACCAAGGCAACGAUGCAUAGCCGACCUGAGAGGGUGAUCGGCCACACUGGAACUGAGACACGGUCCAGACUCCUACGGGAGGCAGCAGUAGGGAAUCUUCCGCAAUGGGCGAAAGCCUGACGGAGCAACGCCGCGUGAGUGAUGAAGGUCUUCGGAUCGUAAAACUCUGUUAUUAGGGUAGAACAUAUGUGUAAGUAACUGUGCACAUCUUGACGGUACCUAAUCAGAAAGCCACGGCUAACUACGUG